GCGGAGGAAAAGAAACCAACAGGGAUUGCCUUAGUAACGGCGAGUGAAGCGGCAACAGCUCAAAUUUGAAAGCUGGUCCUUUCAGGGCCCGCGUUGUAAUUUGUAGAGGAUGAUUCGGCAAGGGCUCCCGCCUAAGUUCCCUGGAACGGGACGUCAUAGAGGGUGAGAAUCCCGUAUGCGGUGGGUUGCCUUAGCCAUGUGAAUCUCCUUCGACGAGUCGAGUUGUUUGGGAAUGCAGCUCUAAAUGGGAGGUAAAUUUCUUCUAAAGCUAAAUACUGGCCAGAGACCGAUAGCGCACAAGUAGAGUGAUCGAAAGAUGAAAAGCACUUUGGAAAGAGAGUUAAAAAGUACGUGAAAUUGUUGAAAGGGAAGCGCUUGCAACCAGACUUGUCCGCAGUUGCUCAACCGGUCUCCUGACCGGCUUACUCUUCUGCGGCCAGGCCAGCAUCAGUUCGGGCGGUCGGAUAAAGGCCCCGGGAAUGUAGCUCCUCUCGGGGAGUGUUAUAGCCCGGGGUGGAAUGCGACCAGCCUGGACUGAGGAACUCGCUUCGGCUAGGAUGCUGGCGUAAUGGUUGUAAGCGGCCCGUCUUGAAACACGGACCAAGGAGUCUAACAUCUAUGCGAGUGUUUGGGUGUCAAACCCAUACGCGAAAUGAAAGUGAACGGAGGUGGGAACCCUCACGGGUGCACCAUCGGCCGAUCCUGAUGUCUUCGGAUGGAUUUGAGCAAGAGCAUAGCUGUUGGGACCCGAAAGAUGGUGAACUAUACUUGAAUAGGGUGAAGCCAGAGGAAACUCUGGUGGAGGCUCGCAGCGGUUCUGACGUGCAAAUCGAUCGUCAAAUUUGGGUAUAGGGGCGAAAGACUAAUCGAA
rnacentral:rRNA from 1 species